rnacentral:tRNA from 1 species
GAGGAUGUGGCUCAAGUGGUAGAGCGUUUGCCUGGCAUGCGAGCGGCCUGGGUUCUAUCCUCAGCACCACA